rnacentral:rRNA from 1 species
UUACGGGAGGCAGCAGUAAGGAAUAUUGGUCAAUGGAGGCAACUCUGAACCAGCCAUGCCGCGUGCAGGAAGACGGCCCUCUGGGUUGUAAACUGCUUUUAUUCGGGAAUAAACCUAUCUACGUGUAGAUAGCUGAAUGUACCGAAGGAAUAAGGAUCGGCUAACUCCGUGCCAGCAGCCGCGGUAAUACGGAGGAUCCAAGCGUUAUCCGGAUUUAUUGGGUUUAAAGGGUGCGUAGGCGGCCUAUUAAGUCAGGGGUGAAAGACGGUAGCUCAACUAUCGCAGUGCCCUUGAUACUGAUGGGCUUGAAUGAACUAGAGGUAGGCGGAAUGUGACAAGUAGCGGUGAAAUGCAUAGAUAUGUCACAGAACACCGAUUGCGAAGGCAGCUUACUAUGGUUUUAUUGACGCUGAGGCACGAAAGCGUGGGGAUCAAACAGGAUUAGAUACCCUGGU